GAGGGCGGGCGGGAGGAGGCGCGCGGGGUCGGGGCGGGUGUGAGGAGGGAGCUCGGGGAGGGAGCUCAGGCAUGCGAGCGGCCGCCGCCCGCUCCACCGCCGCGCCCCGCCGAGAGUUGGAAGAAUCCUGGGAUUUCAAACUUCAGCGACAGGCAUCCUACAAGAUUGCCACAGCUAACCUGAAAAAGCAGAUGCUGCUCUGAGCACCAGACUGAGCGAUCUGGUGCGUGCACUGCAUGUACAUGAGAACGCACAUGUUUUUGUCAUCACGUAGGCUUACAUAUUCCUGAGAGCUUUGCAAUUGAUGAAAAUUAAUUUGAGAGCCAAAUGGAGCACCUUUACAGCACAGAAACCAAUAACCCAUGGAAAGACAGCUGCCACUAAUAUUCAGCUUUCCACAUGGUCUUCACAGGUGAAAAAAGUUUGCAAGAAGAGGAAGAAAAAACACUUUGUGCACGGAAGAAGCCUAACAAAAUACCUCUACAACAUAAAUCAGUAGCCACAAGGGAAAAGGAGAAAUACACCGGGUAGAGGAAACUGAUUUUGUUACUGCGGAGGAAUAAUGUAUGGUCUUAGGCACAUUUUGCUUUGGGCUUAAUAGGUUGUGAAUGGACUAAUAAAUUGUGACCAUAUGUUGAGUAAUGAUGACUGGAAGUAAAUAAGUUGAGGAACUAUGGGACAAGUCUGGGCAUUGAACUGAGCAAACCUCGUCAUCCUUCCUGAGUUAACCGGGUCAUCAAACUCGCAUUUCUUUCUCCCUCUUCUUUUUCCUCUUUUCACUUAGUGUGGUAUAAAUACAAAUUAAUCGAGCUCAUAAAUGUUAUUCAAAUAAAACAAUUGGAAUACUUCAUAUGUUUCCUUCUUGUACAGCUGCAAAUGUUGGGUCUGGAAUUAUGAAUCGGUGCUGUAGACAAGCAUCAAGAAGGAAAGAUCUGGUCAAACAAGCACGAAAAAUACCCAGAGAAAUAGCGAACCCAGGAAGUCAGAUUUUUAAUGCUGCUUCUCUUUCUUAGUUGAUUAAAUUUCUUCCUUCUUUGAAUUUUAGAAGAUUUUGAAAGAGUGCUUACUUGAUGUGCUUUAUUCUGGCAUUUGUUUUUUUACAGUAGGAUGAAAAGUCUGUGAUUCCUUGUAGCAGAAAAAAAGAAGUAAAGAAAAAACCAGCUUGACAUUUUAGCCUGUUUCAGAGGAGAGAGAACUUCAUGCUUCACCUGAGGCAAACUUAACCUGCUUUGAAAGCUAAAAGCUUUAAAGCGUUUUUGAUUCUGCUAUAAAUGAAGAGGGAGCUUCUUUUUCGUUCGUGUGUGGCAGCAAAAAGUGGGAAAGCAGGCAAGAUAGCGUGAUAAACAGUUCAGACUGUGUUGGGUCUCUGGUGGAAAAAAAAAAGUGCUGCAAUGAAAAUUGGAUUGGCUUUGGACUGAAAAAAAAACCUUUGAGUCCAACGAGCAGUUCAGUACCAAGAGGGAUUUCCCAGCUGGCCUGGCACACCAGUGCCUGCACGAGUCCGGGUCUGUUGUUUCGCACGGUUUGUGUGCCUUUUUUCCCUUUAUGCAAUCUCUCAGCUUUAGCAGCAGAAAUACAUCAGCCGGAAAAGAUCUGCCAGAGGGCAGCUCGGAAAAGAUGAAUGUCAUAUAGAUACUUCUAUAUGUCCGUGCGCGCGCUUAAGUUUCCGCAACCGAACUUCGGAAGCCAAUUUGACUGGACGCGAUCUAAAACAAGCCUUAAGUUACUUGAAACCUACACAGUUGCAACUCUUUGUCUCUGGAAUUGCGUUACCGCUAAACUGGAAUCUCAGGCUGUAUAAAGAUUCUAUCAAGUCGAGCAAAAAGAUGACUGAACCAUUUCUCGGGCGCCUCUUUCCGAAGUAGCUGCUUCUCCAAAGGAUAAGUGCACCCUGGCUCUACAGACUCAAAAAAAGCAAACAAAAAAUGAACCUGAAUUUUUUUUUUUUUUUUGGAAGUGUUACUUUUUUCUUAGCCAACUGCCAUCAUCUUUUAUAGAGGAAUUUUUCACUAUGCAUUUGGUGGAGAUUUAUAAACACUGAUCCCAUCUUCCCCUCCUCUUUCAAUGAUCUCUCCCAGGUCAGUCUUAUCAAUAAAAAAAAAGACAAAAAAAAAUUGCUUUGAAUUUUGUGCACUAGACAUACUACUUUCUUAUGUCAAAAACAAAGCUAUUUAAAAAGCAUGUAUGCAGCAGUGGAACAUGGGCCUGUUCUUUGCAGCGAUUCCAACAUCCUCUGCCUCUCCUGGAAAGGGAGAGUGCCCAAAAGUGAGAAGGAGAAACCUGUUUGCAGGAGGCGGUACUAUGAGGAAGGCUGGUUGGCAACAGGCAAUGGCAGAGGAGUUGUAGGCGUCACUUUCACUUCCAGCCAUUGCAGGAGGGACCGCAACACCCCUCAGAGAAUCAACUUCAAUUUGAGGGGCCACAAUAGUGAGGUUGUGCUGGUGAGAUGGAAUGAACCAUUCCAGAAAUUAGCAACCUGCGAUGCAGAUGGAGGAAUAUUUGUUUGGAUACAGUAUGAAGGCAGAUGGUCUGUGGAGCUCGUGAAUGAUCGUGGGGCACAGGUAAGCGACUUUACAUGGAGCCAUGAUGGGACUCAAGCACUUAUCUCCUAUAGAGAUGGAUUUGUGCUGGUCGGUUCAGUCAGCGGACAGAGACACUGGUCUUCAGAAAUAAACUUGGAGAGUCAGAUCACCUGUGGCAUAUGGACUCCAGAUGACCAACAGGUCCUGUUUGGCACUGCUGAUGGACAGGUUAUUGUCAUGGACUGCCAUGGCCGAAUGCUGGCCCACGUGCUCCUUCAUGAGUCAGAUGGCAUCCUGAGCAUGUCCUGGAACUACCCCAGCUUCCUGGUGGAGGACAGCAGCGAGAGUGACACGGACUCCGAUGAUUAUUCCCCACCACAAGAUGGACCAGCUGCAUAUCCAGUCCCCGUGCAGAACACCAAGCCACUACUUACUGUCAGCUUCACGUCAGGAGACAUCAGUUUAAUGAACAACUAUGACGACUUGUCUCCUACUGUCAUCCGCUCAGGGUUGAAAGAUGUGGUGGUACAGUGGUGUACACAGGGAGACCUACUUGCAGUAGCAGGCAUGGAGAAGCAAAGCCAGCUGGUUGACCUCAGCAAUGGUUCCCUAUUAAAAAGUGCACUUGUCAAGUUCUACAAUGUGCGCGGGGAACAUAUCUACACUCUGGAGACACCUGUGCAGCGCCCCAUUAUCUCCAUCUGUUGGGGUCACAGGGAUUCACGCCUGCUGAUGGCUUCUGGACCUGCGUUAUACGUUGUCAGAGUGGAGCACAGGGUCUCCAGCCUGCAGCUGCUGUGCCAGCAGACCAUUGCUAGCUGUCUGCGGGACGACAAGGAUAUCAGCAAACUGACCCUGCCCCCUCGGCUCUGCUCGUACCUCACCACAGCCUUUAUACCAACAAUCAAGCCUCCUAUCCCAGAUCCAAACAAUAUGAGAGAUUUUGUCAGCUACCCAACAGCUGGCAAUGAACGGCUUCACUGCACAAUGAAGCGGACAGAAGAUGACCCAGAGGUUGGUGGCCCAUGCUAUACUCUGUACCUUGAAUACCUUGGGGGACUGGUGCCUAUCCUGAAAGGACGUCGUAUCAGCAAGCUGAGGCCAGAAUUUGUCAUCAUGGAUCCUAAAACAGAUGGAAAAGCAGAUGAAAUCUAUGGAAACAGCUUGAUUUCGACUGUGAUCGACAGCUGCAACUGCUCAGACUCCAGUGACAUUGAACUGAGUGAUGACUGGGCAGCAAAGAAAUCUCCCAAAAUCAGUCGAGCUAGCAAAUCACCCAAACUCCCCAGAAUCAACAUAGAAGCUCGCAAGUCUCCAAAGAUGUCACGAGCUGCACAGGAGAUAUCGAGAUCACCAAGAUUACCAAUAAGGAAACCUUCUAUUGGCUCGCCAAGCCUAACCCGAAGAGAGUUUCCUUUAGAAGAUAUUACUCAGCACAACUACCUUGCUCAGGUCACAUCUAAUAUCUGGGGAACCAAAUUUAAAAUUGUGGGUUUGGCUGCUUUCCUACCAACUAACCUUGGUGCAGUAAUAUAUAAAACCAGUUUGCUGCAUCUGCAGCCCAGGCAGAUGACAAUAUAUCUCCCAGAAGUACGGAAGAUUUCAAUGGACUACAUUAACCUACCUGUCUUCAAUCCAAAUGUUUUCAGUGAAGAUGAAGAUGAUUUACCAGUGCCCGGCGCUCCCGGUGCCCCCGCCAGCAGCCCACCGUGCACCGUCAACAUCCCCAUCGCUCCGAUCCACAGCUCGGCGCAGGCCAUGUCGCCCACGCAGAGCAUCGGGCUGGUGCAGUCGCUGCUGGCCAACCAGAACGUGCAGCUGGACGUGCUGGCCAAUCCGCCGGCGGACGUGGGCGGCGAGGGGCCGGCGCCGUUCCCGGGCGCGCCCGGCCGCUUCCCCAGCCCGGGGGCGCUGGCCGGGGCCGAGCUGGGCCGUGCCGCGCCGCCGCCCCUCGCCCCGCCGCCGCCCCUCGCCCCGCCGCCGCUCGGCCCCGCCGCCAUCGCCCUGGCUGACCUGCGGGACCACAGCGACCGUGAGCACGACCCCCCACCCAAGGCCAAGGCCCCGCGGCCGGGGCCACAGCUGGUGGAAGGGGACGCCGUCGUGUUUGGGGCCGCUCAGGAGCUGCCGCUGGCUAAGUUGAACCCUCCGCCGCCCUACCCUGGCACCAUCCCCGCCGCGCCAGCCCCCACCCUACAGCCCCCACCCGGCCUCCCGCAGCCUCCCCUCGACCUCUGCCUGAAAAAGGGAGAGUUCUCCCUCUACCCAGCAGGGCACUACCAGACACCCCUGGGGUAUGAGCGGAUAACAACAUUCGACAGCAGCGGGAACGUAGAAGAGGUGUGCCGGCCUCGCAGCAGGAUGCUCUGCGCCCAGAGCACCUAUACCCUGCCGGGCCCUGGCAGCUCCGCUACCCUGCGCAUCACUGCUACCGAGAAGAAGAUGCAGCAGCCCUGUGCCAGUGCCACCCUAAACCGGCUCACAGUGCCCCGUUACUCCAUCCCAACUGGGGACCCGCCUCCCUACCCAGACAUUGCCAGCCAGCUGACCCAGGGCAGAAACAUCACGCAGAGGCUGGACAGCAGCAUCAUUCAUGCAACUCUGCGAAGGAACAGCAGGGAGGCAGCCCUGAAGAUGGCUCAGCUGGUGGAUAGUCAGAGAGCCACACUGCAACUUCCCCCAAAACCCAAGAGCAACGCAGUGACAGCACAGUACCAGCAGAGAGUACCCACUGCCUUGUACACCUGCAGCCAGUGCAGCAGCAGCGGCAGCAGCAGCAACAGCAACACGACCGCUGGUGGUGUGGGCAGCAUCACUAGUGCCAAUGCUAGUAGCAGCACUGCCAGUAUCGGUGGCAUGAGACCCGAUCUGAGCACAGGGAGUGGCUCUCAGCACAGCUCUGUCAUUGCUCACUCUGUCAGUACUUCCCCUCUGGCCUCCCAAUCAUCCUACAGCUUGCUGAGCCCACCUGACAAUUCCCGUGACCGAGCAGACUAUAUCAACUCUGCCUUCACAGAGGAUGAGGCCCUUUCCCAGCACUGCCCAGUGGAGAAACCAAUACGGCAUGUACCCGUGUCCUUGACAGAGGCUGCCCUCGCUGUCAAACGACCACCACCUUAUCAGUGGGACCCUGUGGUGAGUGAAGAGAUAUGGGUUCCUCAGGAAAGAACAGCUCAGAGCUCAGUGCCAAACCCUCUAAAACCUACUCCUCUCAUCAUUGGUCAAGCUCAACAUCUGGAUAUGUCUCGAAUGCCAUUUGUGUCCCCAAAAUCUCCAACCAGUCCCACUGCCACUUUCCAGACAAAUUAUGGGGUUGGAGUACCUUACCCAGGAAACUAUAGUGCCCCUCCCCUCCCAGGAAUGCAGCCCCCCUGCUCCCCCAAAGAAGCUCUGGCCCCAACACAGUUUGCACAGCAGGAGCCCACAGUUGUGCUUCAGCCAGGUUAUCCACCCAACCUCUCCUAUUGCCCUUUGCCCCCCAUGUAUCCAGGAAGUAGCACCUGCUCUAGUUUACAGCUGCCACCAAUCGCCUUGCACCCAUGGAGCUCCUACAGCACCUGCCCACCUGUACAGAACCCCCAGGGAACCUUGCCCCCCAAGCCACUCCUCGUGGUGGAGAAGCCAGUGAUGUCUCCCCCACCAGCAGAGCUGCAGGGCCACGUGGGCUCAGAGGUGAUGGUGGAGACGGCAGACACCUUCCAGGAGGUGCUGUCCCUGACAGAAAGCCCUGUUCCUCAGAGGACAGACAAAUUCGGCAAGAAGAGCCGCAAGCGCUUAGACAGUCGAGCCGAGGAAGGGAACGUGCAGGCCAUCACUGAGGGCAAGGUCAAAAAGGAGGCAAGGGCGCUGACUGACUUCAAUUCCCUCAUAUCCAGCCCUCGACUGGGCAGAGAAAAGAAGAAGGUCAAGAGCCAGAAAGACCAGCUGAAGUCCAAGAAACUAAACAAAACGAACGAGUUUCAGGACAGUUCAGAGAGCGAGCCAGAGCUUUUUAUCAGCGGGGAUGAACUGAUGAACCAGAGCCAGAGCAGCAAAAAGGGUUGGAAAACCAAAAGGAGUUUGAGGACAGCCAGUGAGCUGGAUGAAUUCAAGUGCCGGAAAGCCAGCGAGAAGGAGGAUGGAAGGCUGGGGAGCCAGGGCUUUGUGUACGUGAUGGCAAACAAACAGCCGCUGUGGAACGAGGCGACGCAAGUCUACCAGCUGGACUUCGGUGGGCGAGUGACCCAGGAGUCGGCAAAGAACUUCCAGAUUGAGCUGGAAGGACGACAGGUGAUGCAGUUUGGAAGGAUUGAUGGCAAUGCUUAUAUUUUGGACUUUCAGUAUCCAUUUUCUGCAGUGCAAGCCUUUGCUGUUGCUCUGGCUAAUGUGACUCAGCGCCUCAAAUGAACAAGCAGAGACUGGAGAGUGGAAAAUAGUAACCUUCUCUUGAAGACCAGAGCAGAAAUGCCAAGGCAGCCUGCUUUAGGUGCGCAGAGGUGGCUGGGAGCAAGGAAGACAGUAAAACUGGAAAAGUCUCUUGGUGCCCGGCAGAAGGGCAUUAACUCUAAUCAGUCAUGGGUGGAGGGUGGGGGACUGUUUUCUGUUUUGUUUGUUGGUUUGUUCAUCUGUUUGUUUGUUUUCAGGUGUUGGGGUUUUUUCUUUUUAAGCAUUGUGCUGGAUCUCAGAAAGAGCAAAGGAUUGAGAGCCAUUCAGUGUUCCGUGGAGAAGUGUGACUUUUGGCUUCUUGUGGUGGGUCUGCCGUGUUUGCUACAGUAGCUGAUCCUGAUGUACGUGAUCCUAUCUUAUCUUGGUGUGCUCUCUUACUUGUCAGAAACAGUUUAAAUCCUGCUAUGAAGAGAGCAGCACGUGCAAAACAUGAUUUGAUUGAAAGGGGAGAGAAAACAGUAGGUUUUCACUAGCUUUGAAGAAUGUGUCUCCCAGAACAACUGCACAUUUCUGCAGCACCCAAACCACUCCAGACUGGUAACUCCGACUUGGAUGUUAGUAACAGGUGAGUCACUUGGGUGGCAUGCUAACAGAGGGCCAACUUCCAGCCUCAGUACAUGGUUACACCAAGAUACAUAACAAAGUAGAAUCCAUCCCACCCUAAUGUGCUUUCCUGUUACUGUAAAGAAUGGCUUAAGUGACCCAAAUAUAGGCACUCAAGAAAAUCAGAAAGCAUUAUAGCUUGAGUGGAUAGAUAAUAGGGGUGAUGUAAGUCAUUGAUUCUUAAUAACCCCUUUAAAGAAUGCUAGAAAUAGAACCUUGGCCACAGAGUAGCCAUUCAGAUUUUUGCCUUUUAUUCCCAUUUCUAGGAUCCCAACACAGUGGAGCAAGCCCUUUCUAUUACUUAAAGAGUGGCAUAAUGAUUUGCCCAGUAUAAGAGACCAAGAGUUGUCAUACUGCUGGCAAAAAUGGGAAAAUUCUGGAAGAUGAUUUUUUUCAUUUUCAGGUCCAUCCAUGUUCAAGGCAAGCACAAUCCUCCAGCAGCAAAUACCAGUUUAGAGUCCUGCUACCCUCAGGAGCAGUCUGCAGGUAGGCACUACAGGUCUUCCUUGCAGGAUUGGAAUUUACACACACCACUCUUGAAGGAGUAAGAUUGAUUCCUGCUUGUGUGAAUUAUUUUACCUUUGUGUUUAUUUAAUUUUCCUCUAAAAAAAUCCUACAGAGAGGUUUGAAGAUUAGAAGACUUAGCUUUGUAUGCUGCCUGAUAUUUCUGAAGGUGUAUCAGAAGAUAGUUUCUUUGGGCAGUUUGAGUGUUGCUGCAUCUAGAAAAAAAAGAUUUUUAAGACAAAAGCAAUUAGCCAAAUGAAAGAAUGAAAUAGGUUUUGGUGAAGCAGUGCUUGCUAAAAUUAAACAUUUAAGAGCUCAACUCUUCAACAUGUGACUUUGCAAAUGGACCUGUCAUGAUAAAUGUGCCCCUCGAGGCACAUGAUUGUGGUGGAACACACACACAAUGCAGAUGCACAGGCUUUCUGCCCCAGAGCUGAAUGCAGGAUCAAAACUCCAUGAUUUUUGUGAGAGCUGAGAUGAAAUGAAUUGAAAACAGCUACUAUUCAGAAUACUCAAUGAAAAAUGUAGAAGGUACCAUUAAAGCCUUCCAGUUCAAUCUUAAUCCUCUCCAUCCAGUUCACUUCAUUACAGAUUUUAAAGUGUGACCCAAUUCAGCAGUUCUGAAUCCUGACCAAUGUUGUCUGUUGGUGGAAUGGUUACCUUACUGGCUGAGUAGGUGGUUUAAGAUGCAGAUUAAGGUUAAAGUAAUAAGUUGGAACAUUUUUGAACAAGGUGCAGACACCUGAGUUCCAACUCUUUUACUGGAAUAGUGAUCAGCUUGGAAUUCCUACCUGUGUUGUUUCACUAAGAACUUUCCUCAUUUCCCAUGUGUUUCAGUUGUUUGCUUGGUACAUAUUUUGUCUUUGGUUGCCUCUUGUUUCUCUCUUUCUGCGUUCGUUGCUUCUUUUUGUGCGUCGUGCGUUUGGGGAAGGGUCUGUUCAAGGUCUCGUUCGUUGUAGAUAAAAUAGAUGGUGUUGUGGAAUAGCAUGAGGAUGCAUUUGAUUGAAAAGGCACUGUGGUGUUUCCUGAAAAAGAAGGGGAGCUGCAUUUGCUUAUAAAUGCAUCCUUUUGGCGCUAAACCUUCCCUUGAACAUGGUUUUGCAUUUCUUUUUUCCCUUUUUUUAUUUAAGGAGCAGACACAGUCAUGCAGGCAGGUGCAUGCCUUUUUAAGCUAGCAAGCCCAGCAUGUUUUUCUUAAGGCUUUUGAAAGUUUGGUACACAAUUGGUGUACUUUUACCUAGCUGUAAUGUUUUUUAAAUACAUUGCUUUGAAUCUCAAGUUUUCUUUCUUUUCUUUUUCCUUUCCUUUUCUUUUUCUUUCCCUCCCCCCUCUCCUUGGUAUACCAUGGGAUACCUGGUUUCAGUUGUACUUAAAACUACCCUGAUCUGCCUCUCCUUUUAUGUAUCUUGUGUAAUAGAUUCUGCAGGAGGUGCCUAGAAAGCAUUGUUGGUUUCCCUAUAAAAAUGUGGUUUGUCCAAAUUCUUUACUGUCUACACGAUUGAGAGAUGGACUGAUUGCCCUAUUUUUCCUUGAUGAUUUGGAGUUGUAAGAGUUGUCCAGCUGUUGCUUAAUAAAAUUUUGCAGACUAGAAAA